rnacentral:lncRNA from 1 species
GAAUUAUUUCAUUGUUGAUCAUUUAUCCCUUAAUAGACUUAAAUUUUUUUGCUCAUAUCUCCAUAUCCCAAAACUCUCCUCAAGAUUUUCUUGAUGCCCACAACAAAGCUCGUGCAAAAGUUGGGGUGCAGCCCCUCGUAUGGAAUCAAACAGUUGCAGCCUAUGCCCUAAACUAUGCACACAAAAGAUAUGGAGAUUGCAAUUUGGAGCAUUCACAAGGUCCAUAUGGUGAAAACUUGGCCGAGGGGUACGGGAGGUUCUCGUCGGUGGAUGCCGUGAAUAUGUGGGUUGGGGAGAAAUCUUGCUAUGAUUAUGGGUCGAAUUCUUGCGUCGGGGGAGAGUGCUUGCAUUAUACUCAGGUAGUUUGGCGUAACUCGGCUCAUCUUGGUUGUGCUAGAGUUCAGUGUCACAAUGGUUGGUUAUUUGUCAUAUGUAGCUAUGAUCCUCCGGGAAAUUACAUUGGCCAACGUCCUUAUUAAUAGGAUAAUAUUUAAUGGAUGUUGUAAAUCAUGUGUGGUAUCGUGAUGUA